rfam:Biomphalaria glabrata isolate BB02 unplaced genomic scaffold LGTN_random_Scaffold18, whole genome shotgun sequence.
UUGGCUGAGCGGUAAAGCGCUUGGCUUCCGAACUGGGGGUCCGGGUUCAAAUCCUGGA